GUUUAAGAUAUAUCUCCUUAAGUUUAGCAGAUCAUUUAUAUAAGAAGUGUAUCUGAAUUAUAGAAUAGGCUUACGUUUAAUUAACAAACGGAGCUUUUUGUGUUUAACCAAGGGACAAUUCGACACGGUUGAUGACAUUCCAUGGAGGUGUCCAAUCAGAGCGCCACAGAAGAACACCUGAUAGCAGACCGGCCUAUCAGUAUCACAGUUUCAGACGAUGGUCUAUGGAUCGUAAGGAUGGAUAAUGAGCGGCAGAGUUUAACGAUAAUGAGCGGCGGACUCAGUGGGAUCGGAGAUGAUAUAUGAGGAUGACGAUCGGAGAACAAGGGAGUCUUAGACCAGCACAGUCGAUAGGGUUGUUCGAGUACUCAGGGGCCAAUAGGCAGGUUUCGACCGGCUACGCCAUGUUUUAUAAGCUUGCUAGACGUAGGUAGUAAUCCAGUUCAACCAGACACGAAUACAUCUUGCAGUUUUGUUGAUAAGAUUCCUCCUAAACUAGAUGACAAUUCCAAAGACCAUCAUGCGUGUUGGGUUCGUUCUAGAGGUCACAUAUCCACGAGGAUUCCUGCUAAUACCGUGUUGUUACUUGCUAUUGUCAAUACCAGCUUGAUCGGGCCAAGAAUAAUUGAUUCUACUUCGUCAGCCAAGACCAGACUUCCUCCACCAUUCGUGACGGCCAACCUGUUAAAGAUCGAGACACCGUGAUACUCCAUUCCACCUACACCAUUGCUUAGAAAUAGACUUUGAAAGAAAUACAGACCAAGGACUCAGCCAGAGGAGAAGGAAUGAUGUACUGGAUUAGAGAAUCUCAAUAUCAACU